CGGCAACGGAAUUUAUUUUAUU
rnacentral:miRNA from 1 species